rnacentral:rRNA from 1 species
AUGGCUUCCCUGGAACUGCAACGCCUGCGCCACAUGUUACUCACCACCGGCGGCGGCGGCGGCCACCACCAGCUCGGCUCCGCCGCUGCUAUGCCAGCCAGUGGGCCUUGUUAUGGCGCUGUGGUGCCGUGCCAGCGCGGGAACCGACCGUACGCGGACCUCUUCACGCUGCCGCUGCCGCUGCCGCCGCCGCCCGCGACGACGGCGGCCGCGGAGCAGUAUUCGGAGGCGCGACGAGCAGUCGUCGAUGCUUGGCGCGGCCGACGUUCUUGCGGCCCGCGCGCAACAGCAGAUCACCGACGUCGACAGCAUCCUGCUCAAACAUCAUGUACUCGCCUACCCCCCGUCCACUACCCCGUGACCAGCCCCCACCCCCGACCAUCCCCAUCCGCGAUUCAAAAUUCGAAUCGAAGCAGACAGACGCAGCUGCAUCGAGCGGACGAACCACGGCCUCCCCGUCCACGCGCCUGGAUCCCUAGGUUGCUUCACGAUUCAACGAUGAAUCGCGGUGCAGAGUCAUUCACGGAUCUCCUCUUCAGGUAUCUCCUCGUCUUGUGGAUCCUCUUUUUCGUCGGCGCAUUUUCUCCAAAGGGCAGCAAUCCUCAUCUUGCCAUUGCCUGCGGCAGAUUUUGUUCCCAGCCGGCCGCAACAGAGGGCGUCCCAGAUCUGGGAUUGCUAGAGGAGGAGGAGGAGGAGGAGGAGGAGGAGGUCGAGGACGAGGAGGAGGAGGGCGAAGAGCGCAUCCAUCCUAAUUUCCAGAAUCAUUCUCCUUCUUCAAGCCAAGAUGGAGAGAAAUCUGAUGCCACAGAUUCAGGAACUCUUGAAGAUCAGGAGGCUAUGCCAUAUUUCUCCAACGUCCCAGAUAUUGACGACGCAGAAGAGACCCAGCCCGAAUCGCAUCCCAUUCCAGUUCCGUGGACUCAAAGUUGUAGCACGUUUAGUGGGAUGACAGUAACAGUACACUUGCCCAAAUUUCCCAUCCAUGUGUCAAAGAAUCAUGAAUCUGGGGUCCGACUUGGCAAAAUUCCUGACAGCCGUGCCACAUUAUCGGGAAGGAAAAGUGCUUUGAAAAAGGCCAUGAGAAAUUACGCUGAUAAGAAGUCAGAGUUCGUCGUCAAGCCAGAGAUCGGCCAGGAAUUUGAUUCUUUGGCCGAAGCUUACGACUUCUACAACCUAUACUCGUGGGAGAUUGGUUUUGGCAUCAAGUAUGGGCAAUGCAGAAGAAACGUUGAAAAGUGCAAGACGGUCCAGGACAUAGUUUGCGGAUGCGCGACCAAGCCCGUGCAAUGGAGAGGGCUAUAUGUUCCCAGUGGCCUGAUACAACUCACAGAUGGUGCAAAUGGCAUUGAUUUCAGAGACGAGUUUCACAAACUUCUCGAGUAUAUGGUCACAGUAGAUGAGUUUGAAACCGCAUGGGCCAGCUUGAUUGAGAAAUAUCAACUUGCAGACCACCCAUGGCUCACUCAAAUAUAUGAAGUUAGAACAAAAUGGGCAAAGCCAUAUUUUGCAGUUACAUAUGUUCUCGCGCCACCGUUGAAGCACAACUACUUCCUGACGGAAUACUGGGGAGGUCUGCACACCCCUGAUCUCAUACACAUGUACAACUGGGGUAAGUAUGUCCGGGAGGAAGUGCUUCUAUCAGCUGGGAGGGUCAAGUCAGAGCUCCUUGGGGGCAAAGUUAAAUCAAACAUCUCUGGUUGCACUUUCUUCAUUCAGGUGUUCUAUCUGGACAAUUUUGAUCUUGAGGACGAGAACCUACCACACGACGUCUUCCCAAGAUGCAAGGUCUAUGAUCAGAAAAAGAUUAACAUGGUUAUUGAAAAGGACACAAGCACAGGAAAGAACGCAGAUAUUGUUAUAUACGGACUACUUCUGCCGAGGCCGGCGCACACAGUGUGCUAUAGCAGGAACAGAGCUUCAAUGUCCUUCAUUGGCAAGAUUGCUGAUAUCGGAGCCGGGUCAAGCAGAUAUCAAAGAGCACCGAUGAUCGAGGAGAUUGUUACUAUACUUGUGGAAAAAGUGGGCCAAUAUUCAUCUAGAUGCCGAGCAGCGUUGCAAGCGGCGUCUAAGAAAGGGGCCAAGAUAAACAAAAAGCACGCGGAUGGGUGGGAUGGUGUUGUGAGGGAGACUGACAUUUUCAUUGAAGAAGAGACCUCUAAGAUGCUCGCAGAUAUUGAUGAAAUAUCAGAAACUGUAAGGCAGAACAACAAAAGGCUAAGGGAACAAGACUACCAAGGUGAUGAUGUCUCGCCUGAAGAGUCCGGAGAAGAGUCGCCAUUUUCACCACGUUCGGCCAUUUGUCCUGUGAAUACAGAUAAUCGGAAUGUAGAUGAUGGUAAUCCUAUCCAUAGGUCAAAUGACAGUCAACGGGGUGGUUCCCCGAAAAGAGCAAGGGUCGAAGAGACAGAGGAGGAUCCUGACCCGGCGAUUAAGAAUCUGGAAGGACUGGUCGCGGCAGCAGACCAAGACAAUGAAGUAACAAAUGACACUGUGGUGCAUGAACAAAUGCCAAUCCAGGCCAAAGCAGCAGAUGGUAGGCAAUGGGUAUAUGGCCCUAAUGCAGCGCUUAACACAGAGGUUCCCUUAUAUGACCUCGGAAUAGACAAUGCUGAGCCAGUCCUGUCACCGGGAAGGGAAUUGUCAGUUGUGGCUAAAACUCAACAACCGUUCCACAUUCAGCAUCACACUACCCAGGCCGGUCCAAGCAGAUUCAAAAUAGAUUUCACAGGUUUUAGGAGCAAAGACCUGAUGGAUGAUUUCAGUAGAGCGGUGACACCAGAAGGUACGAGCUCCGUGCCAUCAGCUAACACAACACCUGUAUCAACAUAUGGGAAAAAUGAACUCCAAGGCUCACGGCUUGACAUAAUAUGCACUCCUGUGCACAGGGCGAUAGAGCCGAAUAAGGCGGCGGGAACAACACCUGUUAGCCUGAACAGGGAGAUCGCGGCACAAGAGUUGGACGUACGUGAGGAGAUGGAGGAGGCAGCAAUCAACCUGAACGUUCCACAGACACAAGAUGGCCUCAGUACACAGCCACAACGAAAAAGAACAGUUAAGCCAGGCAAGGCUGCACGGUCCCCUUUUGUUCUGGGGUACGAUCCUCCCCUAAGAGCACCAGCUAAUGUUGCAAAGGUCUUCAAGAUGUUUAUGAAGGAGCCCGCAUCUGCAAGGAAAGACAAUUGGGUUAUAAGCACUCAGCCAAAAUACAUCGAGCUCUCUGCCGAGCGAAUCAGGAUGAACCUUUCGGAAGGGGGUGUGAUAGAUAAUGAUUUGAUGACAAUAGCAGUUAGAAGAUAUCAGCAGAUUGACUACACUUUUGCAUUGGAUAAAGAUGAAGGGUGCUGGCGACAUUGGCUCGAGCCAGACUUUGUGAACCAUGUGAGCAGAGGAGACGUGAUUGUGAGACAGCUGGCCCACAACCGAUGCAAUACAUCUCCAUAUACGUACACCAAAACAAUCACAUGCUCGGGAAUACGCUGCAUGGCUGGGACAACAGUGGGGCAGAUGUGGGCUACUUUGGCGGAGCAGAGGCAGAGCCAGACGAGGCUUAUCGUCUCGGCCGUGGAGGCCAGGGCGGCGAAGCGGCUCAAGGCCAAGGACGAGGAGAUUGAGCGGAUCAGGAGCAUGAACUGGGCGCUCGAGGAGCGCCUGAGGAGCCUCUUCAUGGAGGCCCAGAUGUGGCGAGACGUCGCGCAGUCCAACGAGGCCACGGCCAACGUGCUCCGCGGCGACCUGCAGCGGGCGCUCGACGUCCAGGCGGUCCAUGGCGGUGGAAGCGGCCAUGGUCAGGAAGACGACGCCGAGUCGUGCUGUUGGGGGGAGAACCAGGUGCCCCUCUACGCGGAGGAGGAGGUGGGCACGCCGGUAGUGGAGGAGCGUCACGCGACGGGAGCAGGAAGGUGCAAGGGGUGCCGCGAGGGCGCGGCCGUUGUGCUACUGCUGCCGUGCCGGCACCUCUGCGUGUGCGCGUCGUGCGCGGCCGCGGCGCAGGCGUGCCCGGCGUGCGGAAGCGCCAAGAAUGGCAGCGUCUGCGUCAACUUUUCGUGAUGCGGGACGAAUAGUUUUAGAGUCGGCAUUUUGUUUCCUUCUGAAACUUAUUAGAGUCGACUUUUGUUUGUAUUCUUUUGUUCACUCCUUUUGUUAUCGUUGUUGUUGACGGAGGUGAUAGAUAGGAGGAUGGUUGGAUGACAUAGAUAUGAGAGCAUGAGUUUCCUUUUUUUUUUAGUUUAGCUUUUGGCCC